rfam:Arabis alpina cultivar Pajares scaff_42556_1_contig_12, whole genome shotgun sequence.
GAUGGUGAUGAAUGUAACUAAACAUAAGAUUAAGAAAAUCUUACAUGUUGAGAAUAGUAGAAGACCGAUGAUGAAUAUCAAAGCUGUUUU